rnacentral:rRNA from 1 species
AACGAACGCUGGCGGCAGGCCUAACACAUGCAAGUCGAGCGAGGACUUCGGUUCUAGCGGCGGACGGGUGAGUAACGCGUGGGAAUGUGCCCUUCUCUACGGAAUAGCCCUGGGAAACUGGGAGUAAUACCGUAUACGCCCUAUUGGGGAAAGAUUUAUCGGAGAAGGAUCAGCCCGCGUUGGAUUAGGUAGUUGGUGGGGUAAUGGCCUACCAAGCCGACGAUCCAUAGCUGGUUUGAGAGGAUGAUCAGCCACACUGGGACUGAGACACGGCCCAGACUCCUACGGGAGGCAGCAGUGGGGAAUCUUAGACAAUGGGGGCAACCCUGAUCUAGCCAUGCCGCGUGAGUGAUGAAGGCCUUAGGGUUGUAAAGCUCUUUCAGCUGGGAAGAUAAUGACGGUAGCAGCAGAAGAAGCCCCGGCUAACUCCGUG